UACGGAGGGUGCAAACGUUGCUCGGAAUCAUUGGGCGUAAAGCGCACGUAGGCGGUCUGAUAAGUCAGGUGUGAAAGCCCUGGGCUCAACCCAGGAAGGGCACUUGAAACUGCCAGGCUUGAGUACGGAAGGGGGUCUCGGAAUUCCCGGUGUAGAGGUGAAAUUCGUAGAUAUCGGGAGGAACACCAGCGGCGAAGGCGGAGGCCUGGGCCGAUACUGACGCUGAGGUGCGAAAGCGUGGGGAGCAAACAGG
rnacentral:rRNA from 1 species